GAAAUAUGUAGAUUCUAUAAAAAGCUUCUAACUUUUUAAAUAACGAUUUAAUUUCGUUUAUAUUUCU
rnacentral:tRNA from 1 species